GGGGGGUCAUGGUUUGUUAUGAUGCUGUCCUUCCGCUAACAGAUGGGGUCUAUGAGAGGACGUCUAAAAGUGUUUUUCAACCCUGUUAUGUCACCAUCCACCACACAUGGAUUACCCUACAAUAUCAACGAGAGAGACACACGAGAUGCUAACAUUAUUCAGUGUGGCAGGAGCCGAUUCUAAAUGACCUGAAGCACCAUCUCUGCCAACAUUACCAGCGUAUACAGGACUGAGUGGGAGGCCACUGCUGCACUAAGGUCUCAGGACCCUGCACUUGGGAGUCGAGGAGCCCAAAACUGAACCCCUGUCCCAAACCAACUGGUUGGGAAUGACGUGGACAGUGAGGGGUCAGUAGGGAGGUGGGACAGGCACAGAAACUUUUACUUCAGCAAAUUUUGGUUGCUUUAGCAUUGUCAAUAUUUCAGAACACGAAACCACCCGUGGAAGUGCCCAUCUGGCCUGGCGCUGCUGGAAAUGCCUGCCCCUUGCUCAGCAGUUUUCAGUCUUCAAACACAGCCCGUCUAUAGUUUCGUAUUUCAUCGCUGAAGCAGAAAUUGAAAGUGAUUACGAAUCAUUCCCAUAAUUGUUGGAUUUUUCCUGCUUAAUUUUUUUCUUAGCCACCUGGUGGUAAGAGUGUAAAAGGCAGGGUUGCAGUAAGAGUUUAUUGUGCUAGUUUACAAACGGCAGCUAUCGCAAAGGCUGAGACCACAUUUAGAAACACACGUACCAGGUGAAGCAAAAGGCUAAUGGUGAACUGUUCUCAAACUUACCGGCAAAGGGACUUCAAUGGGCACCAGCUUCUAACAUGAAAACAACCUUUAAGUAAAGGCACCUCCAUAAAAUAUUCAUCCCGGAUGGAUUAAAAUGUAAUGAAAUGGGGAAACGUUAGUAAAUCUGUAUGUUUUCUUGGAUAAUUCAUCAAGCCGCUAACACUGUUCACUGCCUGGUGUCAAAUUAAGAGGGUUCGAGAAGGUGGGUGAAGUGGCGGGAUUUGGGUGGCACAAAACUCAGCGCCUAGGAGCCGGCCCUGCCUCUUGGCACUGCACUGUUUCCAGAAACGCCUGCCCCAGAGAAGUGUGCGAUUGUCGGGCCUGUCUUCUCCCAUCUUCUCCCGCUUCUCCUGCCGUAUGAAGCCGCUGUCAGCAUUGGCUCCUGCAGACCCCGGCCACCCUGUCACAACCGAGGACCCACUUCAGCAAAGCCAGCUGCCAUCCUAGUCCGUCCGUGGCCACCAGCCGCCCUUAGCAGAUGUCACCAAGUGUGGCCGGAUCUCGGAUUUGUGGUGGCCUCCCUUAGUCACUUUCUGGAACCCAACAUGCAGUACAAGGCCAGAAGACUUCUUCCCGGAAGGUGAAGCAGCCCUAGGAGCUGGGGCUGAGGGAGCAGUGAAUCAGCUGCUGGGAUUCAGACUCAGGCCCCACCAGCUAUCCUUGCCCACCCAGGGCCCGUCCACUGUUGCUGACUGAGCGGAGGUUCCCACACUUGGCUACUAAGAAACACAGCAAAUGAUCUGCCUGUUAGAGUAUAUCUGCAAGCCUGCUAGAGAAGAGUGGAGCUCUUCCCCGACAUGCUGGCAGCUGCUCAAGGUAUGUUCAUGCUGCCUGGCACAAGCCCUCGGGUCAAGAGAAAGAGCCAAGAAUCUGCACCGUGUCCCAACCCAGUGUCUGUCUACAGGGCAGGGCAAAGGGGCCAGUGGGUCUGGUUAGAGGCAGGUAACUUGCAUCUCGUAUGCCCCCAAAGGUCUUUGUUUUUCCUCCAUGACAACUCAGGCCCACAAGCAGCAGAGGGAAGGGGAAGGACUAUCCUUUAGUGUACUACUGAAAGGUUUUUUCAGAAACAUUUUAAGUCUGUAGUAACAAAAUGGUUUUUAUUCAACUGAUCUGCUUUCCUAGGUGAGAAUGGGAAGCUUGGAAGUGCAACUUACAUGUGAGUCAGAAGCAACACAGAACUAUUACAAAAUGUCAUACAAAGCCAUGCUUUUUUAGGUAGUGUGCUAACAAACUAUUCUAGAAAGAAGAGAACAUACACCUGUUUAAACAACUCUAAGACAACGCUUUAGAAGUCAGGCCUACCCAAAAGUGAAUAAACUUGUUACGAAUGCAGGUGAGGGUUCCUGGCUAGGUCUGAGCCCUCACUCCCUCUACUUAAUAUAGUAUUUCAUAGCUUUACAGAAACAAGCCUCCCAGAAGGAGCACUGGACAGAGAGCUGGGAAAUCAGAGGUCAAAGCCAAGCCCCUGCUGACUGUCAGAGGGACCUGUUUCACCCAGCCACAUGAGGCAAGGCCACAGCGGGUGGCAGUGGGGGGUGUGGGCACCCUGGGCUCGGCUGGCCUGGGACCCGGGAUCCACAGGGGGCAGAUCACAGGCCUCUCCGAAUGACAUGGGACAGAACUGAAUUAGCGAAAGGACUCUGGAAGAUGACCAGCAGAUACAACUGCAAAGCUCCAGAGCACGACCUAGACCACCAAAGUGGCCCUGAGCAUCACUUGGAAACCACCAGCACACGUGGCUCCCACCCACUGGUGUGUCCAGUGCUCCCGGCCCCAUGCUCCCCUGCCAGUUGGCACUGCAAGCCCACAGUGAAUCAGCAAUGAGCCAAACUCUGUUCCCAGUGGGCUCUGGAAUUCAGGACUUAAUUCUUCCGGUAACAAACAGAUCUACCUUCAGAAUUACCUUUGCUGAGAAUAUUGUUAAAUCCUGUCUAAAUUCUCUGCAAAGGUGCUGGCUACCCACAGGAAGUCAGGUAGGCGAGGGGAGGAAUGCAGACCUAGAGGGAAGGUAACUGCCUGCUGGAGCACCAGGAGGACCGCCCCUGGUGCACAUGUGACACACGGACCUCCGUUUUUAAACAGUUCUUAAAAAGAAAGAAGCUUUCUUAAAAAUAAAAGCACAGAAUAUUAAGCCUAA